GAUGAAGAACGUAGCGAAAUGCGAUAAGUAAUGUGAAUUGCAGAAUUCAGUGAAUCAUCGAAUCUUUGAACGCACAUUGCGCCCGCCAGUAUUCUGGCGGGCAUGCCUGUUCGAGCGUCAUUUCAACCAUCAAGCCCCAGGCUUGUGUUGGGGACCUGCGGCUGCCGCAGGCCCUGAAAACCAGUGGCGGGCUCGCUGUCACACCGGGCGUAGUAGAUUUUAUCUCGCUCUGGGCGUGCUGCGGGUUCCGGCCGUUAAAAGACCCUUUUAACCCAAGGUUGACCUCGGAUCAGGUAGGAAUACCCGCUGAACUUAAGCAUAUCAAUAAGCGGAGGA
rnacentral:misc_RNA from 1 species